rnacentral:lncRNA from 1 species
GAACUAUCAUUGUAGCCCCUUAACAACUGAACCCAACUAAAUGGAGCAAAAAAUGUAGGCUCUGAUGCUUUAUUUGUCUCCAAGAUCAAAGGUAUCUGGUUUCUUUUAUAAAGCACCGUGGCCUCCAUACCGACAGGUCCCAUUCAUGACAACUAGCAAGAAUACUUGCACCAAAGAGUGAACCUACAAACUCCGACAUGACUCCGCACAUAACCCAGCCGAUCUG